UACGCGAUUGUUCGGGUGUCAAACCCGUGCGCGCAGUGAAAGCGAACGGAGGUGGGAACCCUUGGGUGCACCAUCGACCGAUCCUGAUGUCUUCGGAUGGAUUUGAGUAAGAGCGUA
rnacentral:ncRNA from 1 species